UACGAAGGGGGCUAGCGUUGUUCGGAAUUACUGGGCGUAAAGCGCACGUAGGCGGGUUAUUAAGUCAGGGGUGAAAUCCCAGAGCUCAACUCUGGAACUGCCUUUGAUACUGGUAAUCUCGAGAUCGGAAGAGGUGAGUGGAAUUCCCAGUGUAGAGGUGAAAUUCGUAGAUAUUGGGAAGAACACCGGUGGGCGAAGGCGG
rnacentral:rRNA from 1 species